rnacentral:rRNA from 1 species
AGUUUGAUCCUGGCUCAGAUUGAACGCUGGCGGCAUGCCUUACACAUGCAAGUCGAACGGCAGCACGGGAGCAAUCCUGGUGGCGAGUGGCGAACGGGUGAGUAAUAUAUCGGAACGUGCCCGGUCGUGGGGGAUAACGUAGCGAAAGCUACGCUAAUACCGCAUACGAUCUACGGAUGAAAGCGGGGGAUCGCAAGACCUCGCGCGAUUGGAGCGGCCGAUAUCAGAUUAGGUAGUUGGUGAGGUAAAGGCUCACCAAGCCGACGAUCUGUAGCUGGUCUGAGAGGACGACCAGCCACACUGGGACUGAGACACGGCCCAGACUCCUACGGGAGGCAGCAGUGGGGGAAUUUUGGACAAUGGGCGCAAGCCUGAUCCAGCAAUGCCGCGUGAGUGAUGAAGGCCUUCGGGUUGUAAAGCUCUUUUACUCGGGACGAUAAUGACGGUACCGAGAGAAUAAGCCCCGGCUAACUCCGUG